rnacentral:rRNA from 1 species
AAAAAUUAGAGUGCUCAAAGCAGGCUAUUACGCUUGAAUAUUAGUGCAUGGAAUAAUAGAAUAGGAAGUUGUUUCUAUUUUGUUGGUUUUCGGAAAUCGACUUAAUGAUUAAUAGGGACAGUCGGGGGCAUUUGUAUUCAAACGACAGAGGUGAAAUUCUUGGACCGUUUGAAGACAAACUACUGCGAAGGCAUUUGCCAAGAAUGUUUUCAUUAAUCAAGAACGAAAGUUAGAGGUUCGAAGGCGAUUAGAUACCGCCCUAGUUCUAACCAUAAACGAUGCCAGCUAGCGAUCUGAGGACGUUUUUUUUGUAGACUCCUCAGGAAGCUUCCGGGAAACCAAAGCGUGUGGGUUCCGGGGGAAGUAUGGUUGCAAAGCUGAAACUUAAAGGAAUUGACGGAAGGGCACCACCAGGAGUGGAGCCUGCGGCUUAAUUUGACUCAACACGGGAAAUCUCACCAGGCCCGGACACUGGAAGGAUUGACAGAUUGAGAGCUCUUUCUCGAUUCGGUGGGUGGUGGUGCAUGGCCGUUCUUAGUUGGUGGAGUGAUUUGUCUGGUUAAUUCCGAUAACGAACGAGACUCUGUCCUGCUAAAUAGUGUCAGCCUCUCUUUUGGGCUGACAAUUCUUCUUAGAGGGACUGGCGGCUCCUAGCCGCACGAGAUAGAGCAAUAACAGGUCUGUGAUGCCCUUAGAUGUUCUGGGCAGCACGCGCGCUACACUGAAUAGAUCAGCGUGUUCUCCCUUUCUGAGAAGAACGGGUAAACCGCUGAACCCUAUUCGUGGUAGGGAUCGGGGCUUGCAAUUAUUCCCCGUGAACCAGGAAUUCCCAGUAGGCGCGAGUCAUAAGCUCGCGUCGAUUACGUCCCUGCCCUUUGUACACACCGCCCGUCGCUACUACCGAUUGAACGUUUUAGUGAGGUCCACGGACUGUUUGCAGAGCGGAUUAUUCUGCCUUGCUGGCGGGAAG